rnacentral:rRNA from 1 species
UACGAAGGGGGCUAGCGUUGCUCGGAAUCACUGGGCGUAAAGCGCACGUAGGCGGAUUGCUAAGUCAGGGGUGAAAUCCUGGAGCUCAACUCCAGAACUGCCUUUGAUACUGGGAAUCUAGAGUCCGGGAGAGGUGAGUGGAACUGCGAGUGUAGAGGUGAAAUUCGUAGAUAUUCGCAAGAACACCAGUGGCGAAGGCGGCUCACUGGCCCGGUACUGACGCUGAGGUGCGAAAGCGUGGGGAGCAAACAGG